AACUUUUACUAGUAUCCGUGUAGUAAUGUCGUUGGUUGAAAGAAGGUGAACUGGUGAUGGAGAAGUUGAGGCUAAUUCCAUGUGCUGUCAUUUUCUGUUAAAAACAGAAGAUUUCAGUCAGUUCCAGUUGUAUGUUCAUAAGAUUAUGGAAUUGAACAAAAAUUUUUCAUCCAGACUUGCAAUAUUGCUACUGAGAUGUUGAACACAAUUUUCUGGUGGAUGACAAUAUAAUUUCUUUUAAAAUUGAUUUGUCACCACGUGGGGACCUGAAACUGAAAACUGACAGGUACUUUGAGACACUAUUCAUGUGGAAGGUGACCACACCGAUGCUACAAAUAUCAUCAAUACUGCAUGAUUUAGGCAAACAGGUUGUGUAGGCUGAAACAAUGAAGGGAAAAGUAGCUGUGUAUACCGAGGAAAAUGUAAAAGGUGGAUGAGAAAACUUGAAAUUUUCAGAAGUGAAAACUCAAAGACAUUGUCACUAUGAUCCAAUCAUUAUCAUUUUGGGGCAUGCAGAAGAAAUGAGCUCAUUAUACGUGUAAUAAUUUAUUUGAAUGUGUUUUGAAGAAAUAGGGGGUAGACAAUUGGAAACUAAAUGCCGUGAAAUACGCGUGUCCAUUGAUAUAAAAAUGUUUCACACUGUUCAUUUCUGGACUGGGUGUGUGUAUGGACAGCACAAUGAGGGACUGAACAUUGGAAUUUCUACACAAGCUAAUGUCUGCGUUGGAGUUUUUUUAUGGCAACUGGGACCAUAUCAGAAAUUACCCGGACGACCUGCGGCUCGCCUUCCUUGUUCCUACCAACCAAGAAAGGAUUGAUGAAUUAGCUAUUACCUUCUAUGGAAACAAAAUAAAUUAUUCAGCAGCUGUUAUUGUACUUGAAGAACUCUGGUAUUAUAAGCCAAAUCUUAACAAUUUAAUUCGUCAAUUCAGGGAAGCAUAUAGAGAGUUUGUUUUUAUGCCUAAUGGAAUAAGAUGUGCACAUAAGUAUUACGAUUUCAGAUAGGGACGUUAUAGGCCUUUGUGGUAUAACUAUUAGAGCCUCAAUACAUAAAAUAUCAAAAGUCAUACCUCAGACGCACAGCCGAAGGCCAUCCUAGAACAUGGCCUCACGGGUAGUGAGGUCUCCUAAUCAGGGUAAAACCAAAUAUAGGCUUGUUAACAAGUUAUCUACGGACAAAGAGCAUUGGCAAUGUACAUGUGAGAAUGAGUUUUGUUUACAUUUUAGGUGGCAAGUGUUGGCACGUCUGUAUUAUGUUUUGGAUAUUUCAGAAUGGCUCACAACCUGCAUCCCGCUUUGGGAUACCGAAGAGCAGAGUAUGAAAAUGUUGCCAAUAGUCAUGAACAAACCCAAGGUAUGCAACAUCACGCUUGCGUAGGUGGGCCGAACGUACUAAAGUUAUAGAUUACAUGGAUCCAUUCUUAGUUAAUAAUUGGUCUCGUAUUCGUUUCAUUGAGAAAUAUUUCGACUCUUUUCAAGCGAAUCGUUUGGUCGUCGGGUCUCUUACUGAGUGUCAUUUAAAUUAUAAUGCCUGGGCGGGGCGCGUUGUACGGUGGUAUAACAAGGCCUUUCGGUCAACGGAGGUGCCUAAGAAACAGUUAUAUCUUUAUGGUGAUACAAAUAUUGGCAAGUCAACGUUAAUUGAGAAAAUACUGUCUCGUAAACAGCAUUUAUAUCUACCGUUUUGUUCCGAAUUUGGAUUUGGUGGAUAUGAUGCUUGUGUUCAUAAUGUUAUUGUUUUUGAGGAGUUUGAGUGGUCUAGAUGGAGGCAGUAUGCAUCAAUUUCACUGAUCAGUUACUGGGGGUGCACUGCCUGCUUGUGGGCUCAGUAUGUGAAACAAGUGCAUGUCACAGAGGCAUAAUUGUUCUACGCGUGCUCGUCUUGUAUUGUGGCACAGUUUGUUAUGAGAACAUACGGUUUCAUAUUGUCUGUUUCUUUAGCUUCAUUGUGUAAUCACUGUUGUUUAUACAGGGUGUUUCAAAAAUGACCGGUAUAUUUGAAAUGGCAAUAAAAGCUAAACGAGCAGCGAUAGAAAUACACCAUUUGUUGCAAUAUGCUUGGGACAACAGUACAUUUUCAGGCGGACAAACUUUCGAAAUUACAGUAGUUACAAUUUUCAACAACAGAUGGCACUGCAAGUGAUGUGAAAGAUAUGGAAGACAACGCAGUCUGUGGGUGCGCCAUUCUGUACGUCGUCUUUCUGCUGUAAGCGUGUGCUGUUCACAACGUGCAAGUGUGCUGUGGACAACAUGGUUUAUUCCUUAGAACAGAGGAUUUUUCUGGUGUUGGAAUUCCACCGCCUAGAACACAGUGUUGUUGCAACAAGACUAAGUUUUCAACGGAGGUUUAGUGUAACCAAAGGACCGAAAAGCGACACAAUAAAGGAUCUGUUUGAAAAAUUUCAAUGGACUGGGAACGUGACGGAUGAACGUGCUGGAAAGGUAGGGCGACCGCGUACGGCAACCACAGAGGGCAACGUGCAGCUAGUGCAGCAGGUGAUCCAACAGCGGCCUCGGGUUUCCGUUCGCCGUGUUGCAGCUGCGGUCCAAAUGGUGCCAACGUCCACGUAUCGUCUCAUGCGCCAGAGUUUACACCUCUAUCCAUACAAAAUUCAAACGCGGCAACCCCUCAGCGCCGCUGCCAUUGCUGCACGAGAGACAUUCGCUAACGAUAUAGUGCACAGGAUUGAUGACGGCGAUAUGCAUGUGGGCAGCAUUUGGUUUACUGACGAAGCUUAUUUUUCCCUGGACGGCUUCGUCAAUAAACAGAACUGGCGCAUAUGGGGAACCGAAAAGCCCCAUGUGUUGCAGUCCCAUCGUCCCUGCAUCCUCAAAAAGUACUGGUCUGGGCUGCCAUUUCUUCCAAAGGAAUCAUUGGCCCAUUUUUCAGAUCCGAAACGAUUACUGCAUCUCGCUAUCUGGACAUUCUUCGUGAAUUUGUGGUGGUACAAACUGCCUUAGACGACACUGCGAACACCUCGUGGUUUAUGCAAGAUGGUGCCCGGCCACAUCGCACGGCCGACGUCUUUAAUUUCCUGAAUGAAUAUUUCGAUGAUCGUGUGAUUGCUUUGGGCUAUCCGAAACAUACAGGAGGCGGCGUGGAUUGGCCUCCCUACUUGCCAGACAUGAACCCCUGUGACUUCUUUCUGUGGGGACAGUGAAAGACCAGGUGUACUGCCAGAAUCCAGAAACAAUUGAACAGCUGAAGCACUACAUCUCAUCUGCAUGUGAAGCCAUUCCGCCAGACACGUUGUCAAAGGUUUCGGGUAAUUUCAUUCAGAGACUACGCCAUAUUAUUGCUACGCGUGGUGGAUAUGUGGAAAAUAUCGUACUAUAGAGUUUCCCAGACCGCAGCGCCAUCUGUUGUUGACAGUUGUAACUACUGUAAUUUCGAAAGUUUGUCUGCCUGAAAAUGUACUGUUGUCCCAAGCAUAUUGCAACAAACGGUGUAUUUCUAUCGCUGCUCGUUUAGUUUGUAUUGCCGUUUCAAAUAUACCGGUCAUUUUUGAAACACCCUGUAUUUUAAUCUUUUGUAUGGUCCUGGAUUUUCUUUACUGAAUAAAACAUAUGUAAGAAGGUAAGUCAGUUACUGGAAAUAAAAAUAUUGUUGCAACUUCUUACAUUGCUUCCUUUCCAAUAAAUGACAUCAGUUUAAAUGA